rnacentral:rRNA from 1 species
GGCGGACGGGUGAGUAACACGUGGGCAACCUGCCUGUAAGACUGGGAUAACUUCGGGAAACCGGAGCUAAUACCGGAUAAUCCUUUUCCUCUCAUGAGGAAAAGCUGAAAGACGGUUUACGCUGUCACUUACAGAUGGGCCCGCGGCGCAUUAGCUAGUUGGUGAGGUAACGGCUCACCAAGGCGACGAUGCGUAGCCGACCUGAGAGGGUGAUCGGCCACACUGGGACUGAGACACGGCCCAGACUCCUACGGGAGGCAGCAGUAGGGAAUCUUCCGCAAUGGACGAAAGUCUGACGGAGCAACGCCGCGUGAGUGAUGAAGGUUUUCGGAUCGUAAAACUCUGUUGUUAGGGAAGAACAAGUACAAGAGUAACUGCUUGUACCUUGACGGUACCUAACCAGAAAGCCACGGCUAACUACGUGCCAGCAGCCGCGGUAAUACGUAGGUGGCAAGCGUUGUCCGGAAUUAUUGGGCGUAAAGCGCGCGCAGGCGGUCCUUUAAGUCUGAUGUGAAAGCCCACGGCUCAACCGUGGAGGGUCAUUGGAAACUGGGGGACUUGAGUGCAGAAGAGAAGAGUGGAAUUCCACGUGUAGCGGUGAAAUGCGUAGAGAUGUGGAGGAACACCAGUGGCGAAGGCGACUCUUUGGUCUGUAACUGACGCUGAGGCGCGAAAGCGUGGGGAGCAAACAGGGAUUAGAUACCCUGGUAGUCCACGCCGUAAACGAUGAGUGCUAAGUG